CAAUUCUCAAUAUGAUAUCAGAAACUUGUAAUAUUCUUUAACACCUUAUCAGUUUAAAAGCAUACUUUUUCAUCCCUAAAAGUACAAUUUUAAAUAUUUUUCUAAUAUCAGCCACCAUCCCUUACUUUUGAAAACUUUCAACUUAACUCUACACAAAGAAGAAUUUGUUUUUUUUCGGUCAAUCAGUCUUUAUCCAACGACGCUCUCUUACUUUCUCCAGCCAUCAUCGCGUGAGUUCUCUUUUCCGAUGCUAUUUUCCCUUUUCUGGUUACUAGUUCCACCUUCCGACUGUUUCCUUUUGAUUUUUCGGCCAUCGUUGGCUCUUCAUCAAUCGAAUCUUGUUUUUUUGGUGACAACACAUCAAUCAGAUAUCACCGAUGCACGCCAGAUCUUUUCUUAGUCUUUUCCAGCGAUGAGCAAGUGAUGACUUCCCAAUGUUGUAACAGACGAGACUCUUUUUUGAUAGUCGAGUUCUGUUUUAUCUCGUUCAAAAGGAUCAUUUUUCGGCGGUUUCACGAGGUGACUAAUUUAAGCGUGUGAUCUCCUGAAUUCUUUCACCUAUGAACCGGUUAUGUGUUGAAGAGACUCGACUUACAACUUUGAAGUUUCGUCAAUCUAUUAUAUACAUUGACACUAUUUUGGCUAUUCCUACUUCAUCAUCACAGCACAAAGUGACUUGUCACUACUGUUAUGAACUAGGGUAUGUUGUGUUUGACUGUUUCAAGUUGCAAUCCAAGAAAGACAUUUAACGAUA